rnacentral:rRNA from 1 species
UGGGGAAUAUUGGACAAUGGGGGCAACCCUGAUCCAGCCAUGCCGCGUGAGUGAUGAAGGCCUUCGGGUUGUAAAGCUCUUUUGGCGGGGACGAUGAUGACGGUACCCGCAGAAUAAGCCCCGGCUAACUUCGUGCCAGCAGCCGCGGUAAGACGAAGGGGGCUAGCGUUGUUCGGAAUUACUGGGCGUAAAGCGAGUGUAGGCGGUUGCCGUAGUCAGGUGUGAAAGCCUUGAGCUCAACUCAAGAAAUGCACUUGAUACUGGGUGACUAGAGGACCGGAGAGGAUAGUGGAAUUCCCAGUGUAGUGGUGAAAUACGUAGAGAUUGGGAAGAACACCAGUGGCGAAGGCGGCUAUCUGGACGGUUACUGACGCUAAGACUCGAAAGCGUGGGGAGCAAACAGGAUUAGAUACCCUGGCAGUCCACGCCGUAAACGAUGGGUGCUAGACGUCGGCGAGCUUGCUCGUCAGUGUCGCAGCUAACGCGUUAAGCA